rnacentral:rRNA from 1 species
UACGAAGGGGGCUAGCGUUGCUCGGAAUCACUGGGCGUAAAGCGCACGUAGGCGGCUUUUUAAGUCAGAGGUGAAAUCCUAGAGCUCAACUCCAGAACUGCCUUUGAUACUGAGAGGCUUGAGUCCGGGAGAGGUGAGUGGAACUGCGAGUGUAGAGGUGAAAUUCGUAGAUAUUCGCAAGAACACCAGUGGCGAAGGCGGCUCACUGGCCCGGUACUGACGCUGAGGUGCGAAAGCGUGGGGAGCAAACAGG